rnacentral:rRNA from 2 species
UUUGGGAAGUCCUUGUGUUGCAUUGCC